GAAACGCCACUAAAACUCGAACCGUGUAAUUGGAAAACCGAGCACACCAACAAUAGAGACGCGAGUUUGCCUAAAAUUACAAACCCCCGCUAUGCCGACUUCGCAGGGUACUGGAGGAAGACAGACGGGCAAUUCCACAAAGGAUGCAAGUUACGAAACUAAUGACGGUUUCACUGCCGCUUUUGACACGCAUAACAACAAUAUCGAGAUUGCUAAAACUACAAAACAGGAUGAAAUGGCUGUAAAAACAACUCUGGUUUCUGUGUUAGGGAACGGGGCUGGAUUAGCAGACAAACCCAGGCGGUCAAACAGCGCAUGGUUUCAGGCACUGUGCGUUAUCGUUGGUGUCAUAGCUUUUUUCCUCCUGGUCGCUUUCAUAACAGUUUUGCUUUUGUAUAUCCAGGAGCUAGAUGACUCCAAAUCCUCUGGUCUGUUUAACAAGAUUUGCUUAAAGGAUGAUUGCAUUAGCCGAUCAGCAG